CACGGGGGGGCAAGCGUUGUUCGGAUUCAUUGGGCGUAAAGGGCUCGUAGGUGGCUUUGUAAGUCGGAGGUGAAAUCCCACGGCUCAACCGUGGACACGCCUUCGAAACUGUGAAGCUUGAGGCUGGGAGAGGAAAUCGGAAUUCCUGGUGUAGCGGUGAAAUGCGUAGAUAUCAAGAGGAACACCUGAGGCGAAGGCGGGUUGCUAGGCUGACACUGACGCUGAGUGCGCGAAAGCCAGGGGAGCAAACGGG
rnacentral:rRNA from 1 species